rnacentral:lncRNA from 1 species
CGGGCAGGGGAUAUAACUAGGCGGGGCGCUCAGAAGCGCCUCUGGGCGCGGGAGAGGAAGUGCUCCCAGCCGCCUGCGAGGGGCGGCAGUUCUCACUCCCCCGGCGCUGGGAGGAGGCUGGAGGAAGUUUAUCUCCGCUGAUACUAGCCCGGCCGGCUCAGCUCGUAGCUCAGCAGCAGCAGCAGCAGCAGCAGCACCUCGCGUUGCUCCUGAGCCACUGGCCGCUCGCUCCAGAUCUUUCCUGAAAGAAGCUCCAGGGUCCCAUCACUACUCAUUCUUCAGUAUGUUUAAGGGGCUUUUUCUCCAGUGUCCAGUGCAUAUAUGCACACUUUUGAGAAAUGAGAACAGAUGACUCUGAAGCUGUUGAAGUGGGUUGGAGACCAUGAGUACAAAGAAACUUUUUUU